CUCAGAGGUUUCAGUAAUAAAAUGUAAGGAUUCUGGACACCUGGGUUAUCAAAUAGUAGGUAGGUAGGUGAAAUCACUGAUGGGAUUCAGGCUGGAUGUCAAAAUGAUUUAUAUAGCUGUUCAGCUAAUUUAUAAAGUACUCUUAAAGUGUUUCAUGCCUACUUACUCCCAAAAUACGCAGACUGUGUAGAAAAGUAAAAAAAG